ensembl:lncRNA
AGAGAAUCAUGGUCUUUUAAAAACCUUGUCAUCUACCUUUGAGAGAUCUGGAAUGCCAGAAAAGAAAUGGGGCAUUUUGAGGCUUAUAUCUUGAAAGCCAGGAAGACUUUGGAAUAAUGUUUGAGUCCCAGCUGUGUGAGUGAACUUGGGCAAGUUAAUUAACCUUGGUCAGCUGCAAUUUCCUCAUCUUGAAAACACAGGUGGACCCUUGACUCUGAACCACUCAAAUGAUGUGGGCUUGCUUUGUAUCCCCAUGACAUCUGAAAGUGAAAGAAUAAAAUGCUACAGCAGAAAGUGAAUGGCUUUCCAGAGUCAUAGAGGAAUGGCAGGAACCAGA